rnacentral:rRNA from 1 species
CACGUAGGGUGCGAGCGUUGUCCGGAAUUAUUGGGCGUAAAGAGCUCGUAGGCGGUGUGUCGCGUCGGCCGUGAAAACCUGCAGCUUAACUGUGGGCUUGCGGUCGAUACGGGCAUCACUGGAGUUCGGCAGGGGAGACUGGAAUUCCUGGUGUAGCGGUGAAAUGCGCAGAUAUCAGGAGGAACACCGGUGGCGAAGGCGGGUCUCUGGGCCGAUACUGACGCUGAGGCGCGAAAGCGUGGGAGCAAACAGG